AUUGAACGCUGGCGGCAUGCUUUACACAUGCAAGUCGAACGGCAGCGCGGGGCAACCUGGCGGCGAGUGGCGAACGGGUGAGUAAUACAUCGGAACGUACCCAGAAGUGGGGGAUAACGUAGCGAAAGUUACGCUAAUACCGCAUACGUUCUACGGAAGAAAGUGGGGGACCUUCGGGCCUCAUGCUUUUGGAGCGGCCGAUGUCUGAUUAGCUAGUUGGUGAGGUAAAGGCUCACCAAGGCGACGAUCAGUAGCUGGUCUGAGAGGACGACCAGCCACACUGGGACUGAGACACGGCCCAGACUCCUACGGGAGGCAGCAGUGGGGAAUUUUGGACAAUGGGGGCAACCCUGAUCCAGCAAUGCCGCGUGAGUGAAGAAGGCCUUCGGGUUGUAAAGCUCUUUUGUCAGGGAAGAAACGACUCCUUCUAAUACAGGGGGUUAAUGACGGUACCUGAAGAAUAAGCACCGGCUAACUACGUGCCAGCAGCCGCCGUAACAC
rnacentral:rRNA from 1 species